rnacentral:rRNA from 1 species
AACGAACGCUGGCGGCAUGCCUAACACAUGCAAGUCGAACGAGAUCUUCGGGUCUAGUGGCGCACGGGUGCGUAACGCGUGGGAAUCUGCCCUUUGGUUCGGAAUAACAGUUGGAAACGACUGCUAAUACCGGAUGAUGACGAAAGUCCAAAGAUUUAUCGCCAGAGGAUGAGCCCGCGUAGGAUUAGCUAGUUGGUGUGGUAAAGGCGCACCAAGGCGACGAUCCUCAGCUGGUCUGAGAGGAUGAUCAGCCACACUGGGACUGAGACACGGCCCAGACUCCUACGGGAGGCAGCAGUGGGGAAUAUUGGACAAUGGGCGAAAGCCUGAUCCAGCAAUGCCGCGUGAGUGAUGAAGGCCUUAGGGUUGUAAAGCUCUUUUACCCGGGAUGAUAAUGACAGUGCCGGGAGAAUAAGCUCCGGCUAACUCCGUGCCAGCAGCCGCCGUAA